GACGAACGCUGGCGGCGUGCUUAACGCAUGCAAGUCGAACGGGCCCGCUCUCUUUUUUGGGGGUGGGUUGAGUGGCGAACGGGUGAGUAUCACGUGAGUAACCUGCCCCCUGCUCCUGGAUAACUGCUUGAAAGGGCGGCUAAUACGGGGUGUGCCGGCUGGUCCGCAUGGGCCUGGUCGGGAUAGUUUCAUCUUCGGGUGUUUCGGUGGGGGAUGGGCUCGCGGCCUAUCAGCUUGUUGGUGGGGUGAUGGCCCACCAAGGCGGUGACGGGUAGCCGGCCUGAGAGGGUGGGCGGCCACACUGGGACUGAGACACGGCCCAGACUCCUGCGGGAGGCAGCAGUGGGGGGUAUUGCACAAUGGGCGGAAGCCUGAUGCAGCGACGUCGCGUGAGGGAUGGAGGCCUUCGGGUUGUGAACCUCUUUCUCCGGUGGUGAAGGCCCUGUCCGUUGCGGCGGGGUUGACGGUAGCCGGGUAUGAAGCGCCGGCUAACUACGUG
rnacentral:rRNA from 1 species